UCUUAACUGGUGAGAGUGCUGUCAUCUUUACCUGGUUUGGUAUUGGCUAGACAAGGGGCCAAUGAGAAUGCAAGGAUCGAGUCAAUAAAACUAUGAAAAGGAAAAAGGUAAAAGCCAUGAUGGGAUACUGUUGGAUUGGAAUAAAAAACCAUGUAUGCACAUUCAAGGCAAACCAGUUACAACAUAAUGGAGGCCCAAGGCACUUAUAUCUUGUUAAGAUUGCUAGAUGGGGAGAUGGAGGAUAACGGUUGUUUACGUG
rnacentral:misc_RNA from 1 species